GGGUCGAUGCCCGAGUGGUUAAUGGGAGCGGAUUGUAAAUCCGUUGAUUUUUAUCUACGUAGGUUCAAAUCCUACUCGGCCUA
rnacentral:tRNA from 1 species